AUACUUACCUGGCAGGGGCAAGACCGUGAUCAGGAAGAACGUUCGCCCAAGGUGAGACUCAGCCAUUCCACUUCAGCUGUGCUGACCCUUGCGAAUUUCCCAAGUGCGGAAAUUUUGACUGCAUAAUUUCUGGUAGUGGAGGAAUGUGUUCACGCUCUCCCCUG
ensembl:snRNA U1 U1 spliceosomal RNA